rnacentral:rRNA from 1 species
AACGAACGCUGGCGGCAGGCCUAACACAUGCCAGUCGAGCGAGGACUUCGGUCCUAGCGGCGGACGGGUGAGUAACGCGUGGGAACGUGCCCUUUGCUUCGGAAUAGCCCUGGGAAACUGGGAGUAAUACCGGAUGAGCCCUUUGGGGGAAAGAUUUAUCGGCGAAGGAUCGGCCCGCGUUGGAUUAGGUAGUUGGUGGGGUAAUGGCCUACCAAGCCGACGAUCCAUAGCUGGUUUGAGAGGAUGAUCAGCCACCCUGGGACUGAGACAAGGCCCAGACCCUAAGGGAGGGACGCAAGGGGGAAUCAUAAACAGUGGGGGAAACCCGAAUCUACCCGGGCCGGGUAGGCAAGGAGGGCCUUAGGUUUGUAAAGCCUUUUAAGCGGGAAGGAUAAGAAGGGAACCAACAAAAAAGCCCCCGCUAAACUCGGG